GUGUGUGUGCGUGGAUUGUGGGAACUGCCUCCCUCGAUCAAGUAGGCAGUAACGUUUCCCGAUCUGCCCUCUGCAGUGGGAGACCCAGGAGAGCUACUGCUGUCAUUCAGUCCAAGUCCACAGGCCUGAGAACCGGCGUCGUGAAUGCCCAAGGGCAGGAGAUGAUGGACGCCCCGGCUCCUGCAGACACCACAGAGAUGGAGGCAGGUGGAAGUCUCCUCUGUAGCAGAUAACGCUCCAUGUGCAGCCACAGUGGGCUUCCUCAUGGGAAGACCGGGAUCAGACUGACUCACCACCCCAUCCUGUUGGUCGGUGGAGAACCACGGGCCUCUCCUUUAUGGGGUGAGCUUCCAUAAAAGUCACGGGAAGGAGCGGACCCGGUGGAUGCUCUCUCACCGGGGAGAGGGAGUGAAAGCCGGGAUGCCAAGAGCCUACGAGUAUUGGGAACAGGGUUUCUGCUCCAAGACAGAAGACCCCAGGAGUGCGGAAAAAGUGUCCCUCAGUACCACGUCCGAGGUCUUGUUCUCUCCUCGGGCAUCCCGGGCCAUUCAGAGAUGCUGACCCAGCCAGUGGGAAUCCCAGUGUGCUGCGCGUCAGUAGCGUUUCCCCCGGGGAUGCUGGGGGCCCUUCACCACAACUCGGGGACUGAAGGGCCAUUUGAUCUGCACAUCUCUGAUGGUCGGUUCAGGGAGUGGUGAGUGGCUUGGCCAUUUCCUGCAGCUCAGCUCCCAACCAGGGGGGUGAGGGAAACCGGCAGGCCCAGCGCUCCACCGGAACCUCUCAGGACCCGUCUAACAGGGGUACGGGGCAGCCGGUUAAACCACCACCCUGAGUGAAGCCACAGACUGGGAAAUGAGAAGUAACAGACGGCGCAGCCCAGUCUGGCUGAGGAGUGGAGAUGAGCCCAGUGCCUCUGAAACAAGGAGGCAGAAAAGACAGACUAGAGUACUGACGGGCAGGGCCUUCUUUUGCGGGGGAUGAAGAUAUCCUCGUAUUGGACUGCGAUGACACUUGGACAGUCCUGUGAAUGUACAUAAAAACAUUGAGCUCUGCACUAAGUGGGUGACUUGUAGUGAGUCAUACUUCAUUGAGGAUGUCUAAAAAAUAACAACACAACAGAGAUGGUGUGCUUUAGUGGGUGGACUAGUGGAGGAGAGGCAGGGUCCCAGGCCUUCCCUUGUUGGCCCAGUGGGUGUGUGCCCUUGGUCACUCCCCUUUCUCGUGCCUCAGUUAGCUCCUCCGGUAGGUGAAGGACGUGGACAUAUGGUCUGCAGGGUUCCUGUAUCCGUUUCCAGAGGCUGCUGUAGUAAGCGACCACGAGUGUGGUGACUGAAAACAACACAACUUUAUUUUGUCCCGGUCCUGGAGGCCAGAUGCCUGAAAUCAGGGGCUGUGGUCCCUCCAGACACUCGGCAGGGAGAAUCCCUUCCUGGCCCCUCUCACAGCGGCUGUG